GCUCCAGCGGCAAGAUGUGAUCCCAGCAGGGAGGGACGCCGAUAAGGUAAGUCUUAUAAAAUAUAUAGGUUUAUGAUAGUUAAGACUGAGUUAGCAGAUGGGAAGUGCUAGUCAUUGACCUAGCAGCUUUGAACCUAAUACAAGUUUCUGUGUAUUCAUUUGGGCCUAACUCGGGCAGGCAACUGGCGUAAAGCGUACACAUGGCGGUGUGGCUCAGGCGGCAUUUGGCAGAAAGAUUUAUCAUAACAGAUCCACCUGCCUCUGCUUCCCAAGUGCUGAGAUGAAAGGUGUGCACCACCACUGUCCAGCUUUAGCCAUGGUAUUAACCAUGUGAUAGACAUUGUGACAGGAGAAAAAGAGUAGAAUGAAGAAAAAUAAAAAAGCAGAGGAAUGAUCUCUUGAGAAAAACAAACUGUUCAAAAGAUUGUAUGAUAUGCUGAUGUGUUGUGGGAACUCACUCAGCCAAGUCUUUGAGGUACCAGCUUCUUCCAGCCGGGAUCUCAGGUGCUAUGUGUGGACUGGGAGCAAUCUCUCUCUUUCUCUCUCUCUCUCUCUCUCUCUCUCUCUCUCUCUCUCUCUCUCUGAUCUGAGACCGGCAUCACAGCAUCCUGUGCCUCCAGGAGCAGAAGACCUCAGUGUCUCUUUACCUCCAUUGUGUGGGUGUUCCCCAAAUAAAUAUUUGUUAUUCCUUUAUCUGGGUGUUAGUGGACUUCCUUAAUCUGCCCUCAUUGAUGGAUGAGAAAGCCUCAAGGAUCAGACAUAACAGAUUACAUUCAGUCAGGGUUAAGGAUGAGGGGGUGUUUGGAGGCAAUAGAGAGCAUGCAACAAAGUGCACAUGGCAUACAUAGUUGAGAAAGAGAAUACAGCCUACGAGCAUGAAGACAUCUGAGGGAAGCAGGAUGACUGUUUUAGCCAGGUUAUCAGUUUUUUCAAGAGGUGAAAUUGGGUUUUAAAAUGUAUGUCUUACACAUAGUGUAUGAGAGAAUGGAUUUCAUUUUAACAUAUUCAUACACGUAUAUCAUUGUACUUUGCAUGUCCCCCCCACAAUUCCUAUGUCUUGCCUACUAUUUAACACUGCUAUGCUACUCAAUAUUUUAAAAAGAUAGCCAACUUAACAUUCCUUUAUUUCUAUUUAUUUAUUCAUUUUUGAGUCAGGGUCUCUCUACAUAACCCUGGCUGUCCUGAAAAAGAAUCUGGGCAGACAUUUUAGGAAGAUUUAUAGUGGCUCAAGACAUGUGGGAAAAAAGGUUUAUGUCAUUAGUCAUCAAAAAAUGUACAUAAAAACUUGCUCUUCCAUUUACACUGAAAUGGUAUCAAUGAAAACAUAGUAUUUUUACUGAUGGAAACGUAGAGAAACACAUAGAGCCCACACACACCAUCUGUGAGGUUUUCAAAUGGCCUAGUCACUUUGGAAAGUGGACUGGUUCUUCAUUAAAAAGUUGAACACAGACCUGGAAGAUUAAGUGCAUGCACACAAGAGAUUUUUAAAAAUAACCCACAAACAAGUGGGCAUUAUUUAAAAUAGCCAAAAGAGGGAACAAUCCAAGCACCCAUAGGCUGAAAAACAAACUCACUAUAGUAAACAAACCAUUAUUUAGAAAGGAAAAUCCAGACACCACAUGCACAGAGCAAUACCAUUCUUACAAACUGUUCAGAACAGGGAAAACCAAAGAGACUCAGGGAGUGGGUAUGGAGGUUGAUGCUAACUCGAGGAGGUUUCUUUUUGUAGUAUGGAAACCUUCUAAAGUUGACUAUGGCGAUGCUUGUAUGUUUCUAUGGGUCCAGUAAAAGCAUUGGCUUGCAGUGUAAAUGGAUGGAUCGCAUGGUAUGUGAAUUAUACUUCAACAAAGCUGCUUUGUAAAAAUGUUUCACCCAAACCAGACUCCAGCACCCGGCUCCCAGUGCUGAUAUCCAUGCUCCCUAGUUCACCAGCUAUGGCUGCUCCUGUCUGUCUAGAUGGUUGCUCAUCUGAAUUGUCAAAGGGCUUCUGGAUAGAAUUUGGGCUGCUCUCAAGGAUAGUGCUUUUUCCAGACCGUGAGAUGAAAACCAGAAAAAAAUAAAAAAAGAAUCGAUACGGUAAACACUUGUGCACACGAGGAUCUGUGUAAGGCAUCUGUAUGUGGCAUUCACUUCAUCUCUUCUGCUUUGGACUUGUGGAAAACUGAUGUUGAAAGUGAAGUGUUUUUGUGUGUUUGUUUGGUUGGUUAAUUGGUGGAUGGAUGGUUUUUUUUGUUUGUUUGUUUUUUGGUUUUUUUUUUGAGACAGGGUUUCUCUGGGUAACAGCCCUGGCUGUUACAGUGUGCCACCACUGAAUGGCUCUGAAAGUGAAGUGGUUUUAACAAUGGGAAGCCUAGUAUCUCUCAAGUCUUGUUUGAGUGACAGUGUGAGGAUAGCAAGUAGUGGGCAGACUCCUCAGCAUCUUUAACAGAUAGUUUCUGUGUGUUUGUUUUGCUGCAAUAGGCACUGAACUCAGAGUCUUGUGCAUUCUCAGCAGGGGCUCUAUCAUUGAGCUACAUCCCUAGCUCAGCUGGCCAAAGGUUCUGGAUUUCAUUUGCCGGUGAUGGGCAGCAGCUGUGGAGUUUUUCCUCAAAAAUGAAAAAUAUCCAUAAGCAAUAUGAUACAGAUGCAUUUUUGGCUAAGAAGCUCAUAUUCACCUUGUCUAAUUGUUAAGCUCAGUCGUACCUUUGAGAAAUCUUGCAGUGUUACUUAAAACAGACAUGGCCUGACAAGCUCCUUGGGUGAAUUUUUGAGACUGCUGUGGCUUGCUCCUCCAACUGCAAGGUGAGUCUCCAAGAGAUUGCAUUUGAAGACCAGAAAUACAGAAAUACUGGCUAAUUUCAAGUCAUGUGUUAAAAUACUACUGGACCUAAGAGUGGAAUGCUCUGUUGCUACAAAAUGGACAAGGAGUCUGGAAAGAUCUUUCUCUGCUGAGGCUGCUCCUUGUGGUUAGUGUCUCUGAGCCAUAGAACACACCGAUGCUCCUGUUUUUCACUGAAGGAAUGGAUGAUUGUCUAAAGAAUCUUAUGACAAAAUAGUAUUCUUUCCUCAUUGCCAACAAACACCCUUCCAAACACAGUGAUUUGUUGCAUGAAAAAUAAAAGACCCAGAGACUGAUAUUGGGGUUCAAACUUCAAGUGGGUGAUCAGCAAAGCAAAGCAGCUACCACCAGCUCUUGCCUCAAGCUCAGGCUGAAAGGGCUGAUCCACACAUGAGCUCUUCACCAAGCCCCAAAUGGCUGCCUCUCCUCAGCGUGGCUGGAGACUCCUUCCUAUCCUGCUUGAUACUGAGCCUUCCAAUCUUCAGUGUGGCUGGAGAAUGAAUACCUCAUGUUGAGACCUUGCUUCUGUUUUAUAUGCCUUCCUAAUGCUGGAAUUAAAGGCAUUUGAUCACAGGUGCUGACAUCAUCUUUGUGUGAGCUGUUUCUCUUUAGGACUGGAUCAUUCUUGUAUGGAUCUGAGUGACCUUGGACUCAAAGAGAUCGUCUAUCUCUCUUAAUCCUGAGUCCUGGGAUUAAAGGUUUGUACCACCACCUCCUAGCUUCUGGCUGCUGGGAUUAAAGGUGUGUGCCUUGCU